rnacentral:rRNA from 1 species
UACGUAGGGGGCAAGCGUUGUCCGGAAUUAUUGGCGUAAAGCGCGCGCAGGCGGCCUGAAAGUCUAUGGGUGAAAUGCCGGGGCUCAACCCCGUGACGUGCCCAGGAGUACUGUUCAGGCUGGAGACACGUAGAGGCAAGCGGAAUUCCGGGUGUAGGCGGUGAAAAUGCGCAGAGUAUCAAGGAGGAACACCGGUGGCGAAGGCGGUUCUCUGGGCAUUGACCUGACGCUCGAGGAGCGAAAGUGUGGGGAGCGAACAGG